rnacentral:rRNA from 1 species
AUUGAACGCUGGCGGCAGGCCUAACACAUGCAAGUCGAGCGAGCGGCGGACGGGUGAGUUAUGUCUGGGAAACUGCCUGAUGGAGGGGGAUAACUACUGGAAACGGUAGCUAAUCCCGCAUACCAUCAGAUGUGCCCAGAGGGGAUUCGCUAGUAGGUGGGGUAAGGGCUCACCUAGGCGCCGAUCCCUAGCUGGUCUGAGAGGAUGACCAGCCACACUGGAACUGAGACACGGUCCAGACUCCUACGGAAGGCAGCAGUGGGGAAUAUUGCACAAUGGGCGCAAGCCUGAUGCAGCCAUGCCGCGUGUGUGAAGAAGGCCUUCGGGUUGUAAAGCACUUUCAGCGGGGAGGCGUUACUCGCAGAAGAAGCACCGGCUAACUCCGUGCCAGCAGCCGCGGUAAUAC